GCAAUUGACUUUCCUCAGCAGCAACUAUAUCAGUCGAUGGAUCAUGUGCAGGUGACAGCAAGAGGUCGUUGUCAUGUUCCUUGCUACUCGUCUCGAGCAUAAUCAGUCCCAGUGACCGACUGCAUUCCAAAGAAGUUACCUGACCUUGAGAUUAUGGGGGAGAUACCUGCUAUCACAAAAAGGGAACAGGUGUAAUAGCAGGACCAGUUUGGCGACUCGUUCUUUACCCGAACAGGGGUGAAAGCCUGCAGAGUCUGUCUGCUUAUCUCCCCAUCUUAUCUGAAUUUAAGUACACAAUCUCUGAGGCUGGCUGUGUUCAAGACUCUGCCCCAAGAUAGCAUCAACAGGAUUUACGUGCACAGAGAGAGAGUCACUGCUCCAA